rnacentral:lncRNA from 1 species
GUGAAGCUACCUCCACUUUGUAAGAUGAUUUAGCAUCACCAACAUUGGUCACAGUUCUGGUAUAUGUCUGAGGAGUUGAUCCAAGGUCGUAUAUGGAAAACGAAGGAUAGUUUAAUUGUGCUUCAAGGAUACUUUUCACCUCCGAGCAAUUCACCUUGCGUUGUAACAGGUUACCUACCUGCCGAUUUGUGUAGUUCAAACCACAUAAAUAAGGUACAUAGUCCUCGAAUGGUGUAUCAUAAACUAGUCCUGGAUCAUUUGCCCUCGAUGGAUUAACAUGUCCUGCACCGAUUGCAUAAAUGUCAGCAGGAAGGAGCCUUUCGUCUAGUAUUGGACUGUUGGCUAGGUUUAAUGUGUCAGCUGUUGUCAUCAUUGCAGACUUAAUAGCAGCAGGAGACCAAUCAGGAUGUGUGCUCUUCAGCAGAGCAGCUACGCCACUAAGGUGAGGGCAAGACAUUGAUGUGCCUGAUAUGAUAUUGAAUGUGGAUUUGGUGUUUUUGUUAUCAUCCACAGAGGUAGGCCAAGCAGCAAGGAUAUUAACACCAGGACCGAUUAUGUCAGGUUUCAAGAUGCCAAUACUAGCUCCACUUGGUCCGCGAGACGAAAAUGCAGCUACUAUGGGAGCAUUUUUAUCUCCAAUUAUCGUUCCUUGGAACGUGAUUGUAGCAACAGGGUUCGAUGUUGAGUUCAUAUAAGCAAGGAUUUUUGUUCCAUCUGCAUCAGAAAUAUCCAAUGCUGGAAGCACAUGAGCAUCGGCUGAUUUAGUGACACCAGAACGCUGCUGGUUGAUUAUAAUCAUGCCAACACCUCCAGCAUCCUUUACAGCUUGCCCUUUAUCAACCCUCGGAACUCCACCACCUGCCAAACAUAUGACUAUCUUUCCUCUUAUAACGGGAUCAGUAAGUGACCCUGAUCUGCAAUAAGGUGUUUCAAAUUCGUCACUUGCAUUUUUUCCAGCAUCAAAUAGAGCGAAGAAUGUUGAGUUGGAAAUCUUUGGACGAUAAGCAGAUUCUCCUUCAAAUUCCUCUCCAUUUCCAAGCUUAACAGUAGCUUUUAGCUUUCUAUCUUGAGUGCUAGCGCCUACUGUAAGAAUCCACGGGGCUUCAUUUCCUACUGAGCCAGUAGAAGGACCAUUAUUGCCGGCAGAGCAACUUACAAGAAUACCUCUUUCUGUUGCACUAUAUGCCCCAAGAGCAAUAGGAUUACUAUAGAAAUCACUCGAACCACCUCCACCAAGAGAUAUAGAAAGGAUAUCUACGCCAUCAUCUAUAGCUGCAUCCAUAGCAGCUAAGACAUCAGUGUCAGCACAACCAUCAGAAUUACAUACCUUAUAUACCGCUAUGUGGGCAAAAGGGGCAACACCAGCAGCAGUGCCAUUAGCAUUACCAAAUACAUUGGCACCAUUCACAAACGCUCCAGCUGCUGUGCUUGCUGUGUGUGUACCAUGUCCAUCAUCGUCUAUCGGGGAACCAUGGCCAAGUUGGUAAGACCUGGCUCCAAUGAGCUUGUUGUUACACUUGUUUGUGAAAUUGGACUCACAAACUCCUUUCCACUUAGCAGGCGGAGGAGGCAUCCCAACGUCACUAAACGAAGGAUGAUCAGGAAGAAUUCCAGUGUCUAUAACUCCGAUAAUCACGCCUUUUCCAUAGUUGGAAUCCUUCCAUACACCCAUGUUCUGCUGCAAACCAAGAAAGCUUGAAGUAUGAGUAGUAUCCAAGGACAAAGUCCUCUGUUUCUGAGCGGAGACAAAGCCGUGUAUCUUCUCCAUUUCCUUCACUUGUUCUGCAGUUAAUCUUGCUGCAAACCCUGUCAUCACAUUGUGAUAAGAAUAGAUCAUUGUAGCAGCCUCUUCAUUUCCGCUAGAGCUGAUUGCGGUAGUAGUUUUAGGCAAAAAAGAAAGGUAAUAGCUAUCUAAAUCCGUUAACGAUGAUUGAGUAGAAAUUAGGCUUUCAGGGGAUUCAACAUGGACUAGAUAAGUCUCGAGAUUACUCUGAAUAGUAGGCCAUGGGAAAGAGCAAAAGAUGAAAACAAGAAGGAUUUUCAAGAAUCCCAUGGGUUGCAAAUGGUAUAGUAAUAGUACUUAAUAAUGUUAUAAUUGGAAAAUGAAUUUGAUGAUCUUUUGAGAUUAGGAGUUAUAUAUAUACAUACAUAUAUAUUGCUUUUAUACUUGGAAGUAUACACAUUAAUUUUUUUUUGCUCCACUUGCAAAGUCAUAUUGAUGAACUCUGAGUGUGAUGCGUAUUAAUUGUUUUUAUGAAUGAUUAAUGAUUAUUUUCAUCUAACUUUAAAUCAUCAAUUGCAAUCUCUUCUUUUUCUUUUUUGCGUUUAAUUGCUUGGUUGAAUCACAAUAAUUAAGUUCUAUUUAUUAUCUAAUAUAUGUUGGAGAUAUAUUGUUUUUAGAUUAGAAAAGAAUUAAGCAGGGCAUGAUCUAAUUCCCUAGAAUUAGGGCAAGUAUUUGAACAGGAUAUAUCUAGUUAUCCUGUUCAACCAACUAUAGUAAGAAAACAUUAAUUCUAUUUUGAUUAGGUGAGUAGAAGUUCCUAUGAAAUGGGGUCAAAUAAUUAAAUGGGAAAACCCUACCAAGGUUCUUUGGUAGGUGUAUGUAUUUAAUGUCGGUGAAGAUAAUAUUUUGUGUGGUGCAGAUAGAACAAAUUCAUAUUUUGAUAAUUCGUUCAUAUUUUAAUGAGUUGGGUGAGUGAUUUUUAUAUGCAUAAUUUCACAUAGUGUUAAGACGUAAAGAGUAUCUUUUAACGUAUUUGUCAGCUUGUGUUUAUAGGCAAGUGUUUAAUUGGAAGACAAGUCCCGUUUUCAUUUUAAGAUAACGGUUUGUUUUACUAAAUUUUUUCUCAUUGAUUAUCUAUGUUGGUAUUUCAAUCAAAAGGUCUUGAAAAUUAUCCUUAUUAGGUUAUUUUCUUGAUAUUUCAAUCAAAAGAUAACUUGAGCAAAGUUUAAAAUAUUUGAAAAGCAAGGAGAAACUAUAGAUUAUUUGUCUCCGCGAAAGAAAUAGCAACAUUACACUUCAAUCAAAAUGAGUAAUGGUAGCUUGUUUCACUAGAGCAAUUGGACUUCUCACAGAGUGCCUAUUAGAAGUCCAUUUCAAGAAUCCCUCAACAACACUAUCGUUUGAGCUUAAUAACAGAUAGUAUUAAAUAAAUAAUAUUAGUAUUUACUGUGUACUAAUUCCAGUCCUAUUAAUCCUAAUAGGACUAGAAUUAGUACACAUUUAUUGUCUUGGAAAAAUGUCACUUGGUAUAUAAGAUUUCGAAAAGUAAAUCUUCCGCGAGCAAAUUUAUGCCCUCCUUCGGAUUUCUCAUCGCUUAUUUUUAUGUUUGGACACCAUGAAAAUGUUGCUAAUAUCAACCAUAUUAUUAACUAAAAAGAUAUUCAAAUAUCACUCACCAUUGGUCAUCUUACGAUAUUUUUCCUUGAAGGAAAAUAUCAUAACGUUAUUGAAUUUGGUGGUCCGUCUUCCCUUCCUAUCGUAAUGUGACAUCAAAUAAAUUACUUUAUCUUAAAUUUAAGAUCCAUAUUUUUAUUUAUUAUUUAUUACCAACUAAAUGUGACGCUCAAAUUGGUAUAGAAAAGUCUACAACGACGUGGCUAUAGUGGCAAAUCAGUGGCUGUUGUUAUCUCUCUUAAAAAAAAAGUAAUUCAAUAAAAAUAAAAUAAAAUAUCACUACGUAGUAAUCGAGUUAUGAGACUCAGUAUGAAUUAACAAGUUUUAUGUUGAUACAUAACUCUACUUCAAUCUUCAUCUUUUAUCCGAACCUGAGACCGAUAAUGUAAGGAACCUCACACACAUUGAGUUUUGGAAAAGAAAAUCAAGUUCUAAAAAUAAAUGUAUAAUUGGAAAUUGAUGUUUGAAGUAUUAAGGGAUCUAAAAAAUAAAAAGGGGAAACCCUACCAAGGUUAUGGGUAGAUGAAUGUAUUAAAAUUUAAUGGAUAUAUACUUUAUAACAUGUUGCCAAUUGGUCAAUCCUAUAGCGCACACUAUUUAAUACUCGCUCCUACUCGCUCCCGUAAUAUUACGUUUAUUGAAGUUAAUUUAGCUAACCUUUAAUGUUGAAUCAGAUUAAAUUAAUUAAAACAAAGAUAUUCGAAAAGUACAGAAAAAGUAUAAGAUACAAUUCUUCUUAUUUUAAUAUGAAAAGAUAUAUAUUUUAAAAUAUUGAUAAAAGUUUACGUAAUUUAACAAUCGAAUAAAUAUGAACUAUGACAAGUAAUUUGAGAAGGAAGGUGUAACUACUAGUAGGGUAUAUGACAAGUGUCAACAUUAAUGCUAAAGACCAAGUCCACUUUCCAGAAAUGGGAUCAUAUUUAUAUCCCCUGUGGUACACAUUAUUGUAUUAUGAAAGGAAAUUUUGUUGAAAUAAAAAUUGGCUUAAACUAUAGAAAAGUUUUAUUAAUCAUAGUUUUGAAGUUUAGGAUAUUAUAUUUGACACAACAACUAACAGAAUCAUGGUAACUAUAAAUUAAAGAGUUGUGGUAGGAUGGACACCCUUCUACAGGUUGUCGUAGCUCGCGUUUUGGAGAUUUUUUUUUUGCCUACUAUUUAAAAAGAGCUUUUGUUGUGCAGUUUUUGGAUAUUAUUUGUAAAAUUUCUGAUUUCAUCACUUCAGUUAUGAGGACCGCCGUUUAUUUUAACAACAAAAAUAGGGAGUUUCUUUACUUAAAUGACUUACGACCAAAUUAAUCACUUUUUAAAUCCUACAUUAAGGACUAAAUAUUUUGAUAAUUUUAAAUUGUGUUUGAGCCUUGAGUAUGAAAAAGUCCUCGAGAGCCAUCUCACUCGAGUUUUACGUGAUGCGAAUUCAUGGUACAAAAAUUAUUUGAUUUUCAAGGUUUAAAGAGUAAACAUUCAUUAAGCCCAAUUACAAUCAUAUACUUUCCUGGAGAAGUAAAAGAUGUGACAUAAAACAUAUACUGGAAAAAAAAAACAGCAAUCCAAUAUGAUUAAUUGUGAAUAAUUUCUGCACUUAUUUUUACAUUUUAGAUUGAAAGCAUUUUAGUUUUAUUCAGCAGACACUCUAACUGCAAUUGGACUUCUUACAGAGUGCCUAUUAGAAUUCCACUUCAAAAAUCCCUCAACAUCACUGGUAGUUGAGAUAUUAGUUGUCUUGGUAAAUAUCACUUGAUAUGUCAACUUCUGGUUCAACGUUGAGAAAUUUAGCGCGGAGGGUUCAACUUUCACGACAACUCCUUUUGGUGAAACUAUCUCCACUUUGUAAGAUGAUUUGGCAUCACCAACAUUGGUUACGGUUCUGGUAUAUGUCUGAGGAGUUGAUCCAAGUCUGAUGGAAAAUGAAGGAUAAUUUAGUUGCCCUUCAGGGAUACGUUUUACCUCCGAGCAAUUCACCUUGCGUUGUAACACUUUACCUACCUCCCGAUUUGUGUAGUUCAAACCACAUAAAUAAGGAAUGUAGUCCUCGAAUGGUGUAUCAUAAACUAGUCCUGGAUCACUUGCUCUCGAUGGAUUAA